rnacentral:rRNA from 1 species
GACGUAGGGCGCAAGCGUUGUCCGGAUUUAUUGGGCGUAAAGAGCUCGUAGGCGGCCUGUCGCGUCGACCGUGAAAACCCGCAGCUCAACUGCGGGCUUGCGGUCGAUACGGGCAGGCUGGAGUUCGGUAGGGGAGACUGGAAUUCCUGGUGUAGCGGUGAAAUGCGCAGAUAUCAGGAGGAACACCGGUGGCGAAGGCGGGUCUCUGGGCCGAUACUGACGCUGAGGAGCGAAAGCAUGGGGAGCGAACAGG